rnacentral:rRNA from 1 species
GAAAAACCAGAAAAGAAACGGGAGAAAAAAAAAA